UACGGAGGGUGCAAGCGUUAAUCGGAAUUACUGGGCGUAAAGCGUGCGUAGGUGGUUGAAUAAGUUAUCUGUGAAAUCCCUGGGCUCAACCUGGGCAGGUCAGAUGAUACUGUUUAACUCGAGUAUGGGAGAGGGUAGUGGAAUUUCCGGUGUAGCGGUGAAAUGCGUAGAGAUCGGAAGGAACACCAGUGGCGAAGGCGGCUACCUGGCCUAAUACUGACACUGAGGCACGAAAGCGUGGGGAGCAAACAGG
rnacentral:rRNA from 1 species